AUUGAACGCUGGCGGCAUGCCUUACACAUGCAAGUCGAACGGUAACGCGGGGCAACCUGGCGACGAGUGGCGAACGGGUGAGUAAUGCAUCGGAACGUGCCCAGUAGUGGGGGAUAGCCCGGCGAAAGCCGGAUUAAUACCGCAUACGACCUACGGGUGAAAGCGGGGGACCGUAAGGCCUCGCGCUAUUGGAGCGGCCGAUGUCAGAUUAGGUAGUUGGUGGGGUAAAGGCCUACCAAGCCUACGAUCUGUAGCUGGUCUGAGAGGACGACCAGCCACACUGGGACUGAGACACGGCCCAGACUCCUACGGGAGGCAGCAGUGGGGAAUUUUGGACAAUGGGGGCAACCCUGAUCCAGCCAUGCCGCGUGCGGGAAGAAGGCCUUCGGGUUGUAAACCGCUUUUGUCAGGGAAGAAAUCUUCUGGGCUAAUACCUCGGGAGGAUGACGGUACCUGAAGAAUAAGCACCGGCUAACUACGUGCCAGCCGCCGCGGUAAAAC
rnacentral:rRNA from 1 species